UGACCACUUCCGAUCCGGAAGUUAAGGCCAUACGGACAGCCGGGUCAAAUGCCGA
ncrna:unclassified sequences Streptococcus sRNA SpF59 (ldcC RNA)